GGCAUAGCGCAGUUUGGUAGCGCAUCUGGUUUGGGACCAGAGGGUCGUAGGUUCGAAUCCUGCUGCC
rnacentral:tRNA from 1 species